rnacentral:rRNA from 1 species
AUGGCAGGCCAUCGCCACCGACCUAAAAGAAUAAUCGCACAAGCUCAUCAACCAAGUGAUGAGACUCAAGGGAACAACAAUGAGAAUGGUCCCUCCUGCAACAAUGGGAGUACCUCCAACAAUGAUAGUGGUGUAACAACUAAGAAAAGGAAGGGGCGGACACGCACCCAACUAAAAAGGCCACCAAAUGGCAUUCGCAUUGCAAUUCAACCAAAAGGUGACAGUCACUUUGAAGGAGAUAAGGGGAUAGGUGGCCAGAUUACUGCACUUCUCAAACGUGAAUACCCGUCCAUUAUCAAGGAGAAGAAUAAGGAAGGUGUGGAAAUCAAGCGUCAUGCAUCUUCUUGGGAAGAUUAUUACAUUAACAAAGUUACUGAAGGUGAAAAUAUUGGGGAAGCAGCUGCACAUCGUUUGAUGCGGGAGUUUUGGAGUAUAUACAAACUAGUUGAUGAUUCUCCUGCCCAAAUAAUUGAAGCUGAUCGUAUUCUUGAAAAUUCCGCAAAGAGACAAUUUAGGCAGAUGUGGUACCAAGACCGUAAGGAAGCCAUCAAACUGUACUAUAAGGAUAUUGUUAAGGAGCCAAUCAAAGAUCAUGAAGCAUGUCAAAAAGAGCUUAACAAAAACCAAUAUAUGCAAGCUCAGCUUUAUUGGUGCACUGAUCAUGAAGUGUGGGAAAGCAUGUGUGACUAUUGGUGCUCCUCUAAAUUCGAGGGGUUGCGGAACCUUGGCCGAGUGUCACGCUUCAAGUCAGAGGAUAUUGCACAAAACCGGGGUGGUUCACGAUCAUUUGUUCAGACCCAAAGCAUGUUGGGAAAAGAGCAUGGGCCUGCAGCAGCAACAAACAUGAGCACUUACAAGUGCAUGAAGGCAGGAGUUAAAAAUUGUACCGAGAGUGGAGAAAGUGGCCCCAUCAACAACACUAAGGUCAACGAGUGUCUUAACACCUAUUACACAGCUCUGAAAGCAGCAGAUCCACUACAUUGGAAGGACCGUGAUCUCGAUCCAGAAAUCAUGUACUCCUCCAGUGGUGGCAUGCCCCAUGGGCGACUAGCAAUAGGUGAUGGUGCUAUAAAGAAAGCAGUGGUCGUUGCAAAAGCUAGAGAGAAUGACACAAGGCCAUCAAACUCCAUAUCAUACCAUUGUUUAUUGAAGGAAAAUGCUCAACUUAAAAAGCGGUGCAAGAAUAAUUUUGUUCUGAGCAAACAUGUACAGGGUUUUUAUGGCAAGCUGGGAUGGGAAGUACCCGAAGAUCUUCUUGCCUACCAAGAUGAGCUGAUGGAUGGCGGUGAUCUGAUGAAUGAAACACCCCAAGCCCAAGAGGAUGGUGGUACUCCAAUGACAGAUUCUUCACAUGAUGAAAGGCAUGUUGAUGCUGGUACUCAAAUGGAUGAUCAUGGUUCUGCUCCAACACAUGAAAAUCAUUUAGGAAUGCCAUAG